rnacentral:rRNA from 1 species
GCCCAGACAACUAGGAUGUUGGCUUAGAAGCAGCCAUCAUUUAAAGAGUGCGUAAUAGCUCACUAGUCGAGUGACACUGCGCCGAAAAUGUACCGGGGCUAAACAUAUUACCGAAGCUGUGGAUUGUCCUUUGGACAAUGGUAGGAGAGCGUUCUAAGGGCGUUGAAGCAUGAUCGUAAGGACAUGUGGAGCGCUUAGAAGUGAGAAUGCCGGUGUGAGUAGCGAAAGACGGGUGAGAAUCCCGUCCACCGAUUGACUAAGGUUUCCAGAGGAAGGCUCGUCCGCUCUGGGUUAGUCGGGUCCUAAGCUGAGGCCGACAGGCGUAGGCGAUGGAUAACAGGUUGAUAUUCCUGUACCACCUAUA